UACGUAGGGUGCAAGCGUUAAUCGGAAUUACUGGGCGUAAAGCGCGCGCAGGCGGUCAGAGGCGUCGGUGCUCAAAGUCCACCGCUUAACGGUGGGAGGCGUGCCGAUACGCUCUGACUGGAGGGCGGGCGAGGGUGGUGGAAUUGCCGGUGUAGUGGUGAAAUGCGUAGAGAUCGGCAGGAACACCAGUGGCGAAGGCGGCCACCUAGCCCGCACCUGACGCUGAGGCGCGACAGCGUGGGGAGCGAACUGG
rnacentral:rRNA from 1 species